rnacentral:rRNA from 1 species
GAUGAACGCUGGCGGCGUGCCUAAUACAUGCAAGUCGAGCGAACAGAUGAGGAGCUUGCUCCUCUGACGUUAGCGGCGGACGGGUGAGUAACACGUGGAUAACCUACCUAUAAGACUGGGAUAACUCCGGGAAACCGGAGUUAAUACCGGAUAAUAUAUUGAACCGCAUGGUUCAAUAGUGAAAGACGGUUUUGCUGUCACUUAUAGAUGGAUCCGCGCCGCAUUAGCUAGUUGGUAAGGUAACGGCUUACCAAGGCAACGAUGCGUAGCCGACCUGAGAGGGUGAUCGGCCACACUGGAACUGAAACACGGUCCAGACUCCUACGGGAGGCAGCAGUAGGGAAUCUUCCGCAAUGGGCGAAAGCCUGACGGAGCAACGCCGCGUGAGUGAUGAAGGUCUUCGGAUCGUAAAACUCUGUUAUUGGGGAGGAACAAAUGUGUAAGUAACUAUGCACGUCUUGACGGUACCUAAUCAGAAAGCCACGGCUAACUACGUG